GAGGUGUUAGUAAAAUAUUAUAUAAUUUUGUCAAGAUUAAGUUACAGGUGAAAACCCCGUACAUCUCA
rnacentral:tRNA from 1 species